rnacentral:sRNA from 2 species
UAAUCAAUGUUGCCGAAUUUCAAUCGUUGAAAACGGGGGAACCACAUCUGGGUGAAUUAUUCCUGAAAGCAAGGGAAUAUAGGGAAACCUUUAACCGAACCCUCAGCUAACUCCGUAGGCAUUUGAAGGGAGAAUCA